GAUGAAGAACGCUGCGAAAUGCGAUAAGUAAUGUGAAUUGCAGAAUUCAGUGAAUCAUCGAAUCUUUGAACGCAUCUUGCGCUCCUUGGUAUUCUGAGGAGCAUGCCUGUUUGAGUGUCAUUAAAUUCUCAACCGCACUGACUUUGAAUUGGUGUGGCUUGGAUUUGGGGGGAAAAUUGUUGUGGGCUUUUUUGUAUAGUCUGCUCCCCUGAAAUUGAUUAGCGGUACCUUUGUGGAACUGUCUACAGGUGUGAUAAUUAUCUACAUCCUAGACAUCUGCUGGAAUGCUGCUUUCUAAACCUUACUUGUAUUGACAAUCUUGACCUCAAAUCAGGUAGGACUACCCGCUGAACUUAAGCAUAUCAAUAAGCGGAGGA
rnacentral:misc_RNA from 1 species